rnacentral:rRNA from 1 species
UACAGAGGGGGCAAGCGUUGUUCGGAAUUACUGGGCGUAAAGGGCGCGUAGGCGGCCUUCUAAGUCGAACGUGAAAUCCCCGGGCUCAACCCGGGAACUGCGUCCGAUACUGGAAGGCUUGAAUCCGGGAGAGGGAUGCGGAAUUCCAGGUGUAGCGGUGAAAUGCGUAGAGAUCGGCAGGAACACCCAAGGGGAAGCCAGCGGACUGGGCAUCGGCUGACGCUCAUGUGCGACAGCGUGGGGAGCGAACUGG